UCUCUUUACCCUCUUGCCCACACGGGUCUCCAUGUUUAUUCCCAUCAAUGUCCUGCCCAAACCACGAGAGGAGAUGGUGUAUGCCUUCCGCAGUAGGAGGUCUUUCUCAGGUUGAGAGAGAUCCUCGCUUUCGUCCAGAAUGCGCUUCACUGCCGUGUAAAAAGCGGCAUUCGGAUCGGGGGAUUGGAAGGUAC
rnacentral:ribozyme from 1 species